rnacentral:rRNA from 1 species
AUGAAUUCAGUACUUGUUUCGCCACGCGUGCCAGUUGAGCUUCAGCUGGUACCACAGAGGGGAUAUGCCAUGGACUCCACUGGACAAGCGCGAGUCGAAGACAUUGAAUUCGCGGCGUCGCAGGGAAUCCAGAAGGACUUGGGCCGGCACGGCUGGGAGGAGCACGGGGACCGCCUCUGCCGGCACAGACGUGGCCAGCUCCCGCGCCUUCUGCAGGUGAGCUUCGGCAACAGACGCAACCUUGAAAACUGCAUCCGGGAGCGCGUCGCCCAUCCUGACCUCUGUCCGGCCACCCUCCCGCGCAAGCAGCCCGCACUCCUCGGCUACACUCGCCGGGAUGUACGGUAUCUUCCCUUGCUUGCUCACGUGGUGAGGCAGCGCCUUGAGCAGCAGCAGCAGCCCACUCGCCUUGCCGAUGUGCGAGGCGGCAUGGUCAGCAACAGUGGACUGUAUCCCGCCGGCCUGCAGCGUCAUGUACAGGAUGGUCGACUGGGUGUCCUCCGCGUACCUCUCCAGCUCCGGGACGUUCUCAGGGAUGGCGUCCUCGUCCCGGUUCCCGUCGUUGAUCCUGGCCUCCAGCGACCGCUUGAGCCAGUGCUUGCUGACCUUGUGCUCGGAGAGCACCGAGGAGAGCGCGAGCGCGACGGGGUGCUCGACCUUCUUGCCGGCGCAGACCUUGUCGACCACAUCCUUCCACCAGAGGAGGCGCAUGAGGCCCUUGCGGGGGUCGGACACGACGUCCAUGGCCUUGGCCGUCUCGACGUUGAAGGCCCGGAAGGUGAACGCGGCCUUGCGCAUGGCAGGCGGCAGGUGGAGCAGGCAGAGGUAGUUGUGGUAGUCGUAGCUGCGCACCUGCUGGACGCAGUACGAGAGGGCCGUCCGCAGGCUGCCGGUCGCCGCGGCGCCCCUGCUCAUGGGUUCUGCGGCAGAUGUGUAUUAAGUUCCUGUAAUGUAGAGGAAAUGCAGAAGAUUAUCAAGCCAGAUGUACUACCAUGUAUGACAGGAUCGGUGGAUGGAACCGCCGGACAGGUACUGGCAAAGCAAACUGGCAAGCAAAGCAUAACAGCCUGA